CUUAAAUUUCAAGCUUCCUAUUAAUGGAAGAAAAAAUGAAGUUAUUUGGCGCUAUGAUUCUAUUAUUGGUGCUCUUUUCCUCUACUGGAGAGUUGAGUCCAAAAGUGGUCGGAGAAGUCGAGAAGGGCGAUACCAUGAAAUGCUUUAGCAAUAUUACGAACCUUAGUGAAUGCGAAGCCACCUGCAAGAAAGAGGACUCUGGUAAAGCUG